rnacentral:rRNA from 1 species
AGAGUUUGAUCCUGGCUCAGGACGAACGCUGGCGGCGUGCUCAACACAUGCAAGUCGAACGAGGAUAUAUUGCAGAAAGCUUCGGCCGGAAGCGAUGUAUUCGAGUGGCGGACGGGUGAGUAACGCGUGAGCAACCUGUCCCAGACAGGGGGAUAACACUUGGAAACAGGUGCUAAUACCGCAUAAGACCACGUCCUCACAUGGGGAUGAGGUAAAAGGAGAAAUCCGGUUUGGGGUGGGCUCGCGUCCGAUUAGAUAGUUGGUGAGGUAACGGCCCACCAAGUCGACGAUCGGUAGCCGACCUGAGAGGGUGAUCGGCCACAUUGGAACUGAGAGACGGUCCAAACUCCUACGGGAGGCAGCAGUGGGGAAUAUUGGGCAAUGGGCGAAAGCCUGACCCAGCAACGCCGCGUGAGUGAAGAAGGCUUUCGGGUUGUAAAGCUCUGUUAUAGGGGACGAAGGAAGUGACGGUACCCUAUAAGGAAGCCCCGGCUAACUACGUGCCAGCAGCCGCGGUAAUACGUAGGGGGCGAGCGUUGUCCGGAAUGAUUGGGCGUAAAGGGCGCGUAGGCGGCCAUGUAAGUCUGGAGUGAAAGUCCUGGUUUUAAGCUGGGAAUUGCUUUGGAUACUGUAUGGCUUGAGUGCAGGAGAGGUAAGUGGAAUUCCCAGUGUAGCGGUGAAAUGCGUAGAGAUUGGGAGGAACACCAGUGGCGAAGGCGACUUACUGGACUGUAACUGACGCUGAGGCGCGAAAGUGUGGGGAGCAAACAGGAUUAGAUACCCUGGUAGUCCACACUGUAAACGAUGAAUGCUAGGUGUAGGGGGUAUCGACCCCUUCUGUGCCGCAGUAAACACAAUAAGCAUUCCGCCUGGGGAGUACGGCCACAAGGUUGAAACUCAAAGGAAUUGACGGGGGCCCGCACAAGCAGCGGAGCAUGUGGUUUAAUUCGAAGCAACGCGAAGAACCUUACCAGGUCUUGACAUCCAGUUAAAGCUGUAGAGAUACAGUGUGUGCUUGCACAAACUGAGACAGGUGGUGCAUGGUUGUCGUCAGCUCGUGUCGUGAGAUGUUGGGUUAAGUCCCGCAACGAGCGCAACCCUUAUUCUCAGUUACUAACGGGCAAAGCCGAGGACUCUGAAGAGACUGCCGGGGACAACUCGGAGGAAGGUGGGGACGACGUCAAAUCAUCAUGCCCCUUAUGACCUGGGCUACACACGUGCUACAAUGGCCACCACAGAGAGGGGCGAACCCGCAAGGGGGAGCGGAUCUCAAAAAAGUGGUCCCAGUUCGGAUUGUGGGCUGCAACCCGCCCACAUGAAGUCGGAGUUGCUAGUAAUCGCGGAUCAGCAUGCCGCGGUGAAUACGUUCCCGGGCCUUGUACACGCCGCCCGUCACACCAUGGGAGUUGGGAGUGCCCAAAGUCGGUGAGGUAACCGCAAGGAGCCAGCCGCCUAAGGCAAGACCAAUGACUGGGGUGAAGUCGUAACAAGGUAACC